rnacentral:rRNA from 1 species
GACGAACGCUGGCGGCGUGCUUAACACAUGCAAGUCGAGCGGUAAGGCCCUUUCGGGGGUACACGAGCGGCGAACGGGUGAGUAACACGUGGGUGACCUGCCUUUAGCUCUGGGAUAAGCCUGGGAAACUGGGUCUAAUACCGGAUAUGACUCCGCGGUGCAUGCUGUGGGGUGGAAAGCCUUGUGCGGCUGGAGAUGGGCCCGCGGCCUAUCAGCUUGUUGGUGGGGUGAUGGCCUACCAAGGCGACGACGGGUAGCCGGCCUGAGAGGGCGACCGGCCACACUGGGACUGAGACACGGCCCAGACUCCUACGGGAGGCAGCAGUGGGGAAUCUUGCGCAAUGGGCGAAAGCCUGACGCAGCGACGCCGCGUGAGGGAUGACGG